rnacentral:lncRNA from 1 species
UUGUGUGGAGGUUGAGAAUGUCUUUUGUAGAAAAGGCGUAAAUUUUGGCAGCUGACACAGCUUGCCAAACCUCAUUCAAAAAUAGGCACCCCGUGAAAAUGUGGUCAGCAGGCUGAGGUUAAAAUCUGAGGGAAGUCAACUCUAGCCCCCCCCCCCCCCUUUAUUUAUCGGCCUAGUCACUUUCUCCCAACGCCCAAUGGAUGCAGUUUUUCCCUUCCUUCCCUCCCCGCAAGAACCGCUUUCUUAGCCCAUCGAGUUUAUGAAUGACCCGUAAAGGAGCUUUGAACAAUGAAAAAUAAUAUACAGGAUGAUAUUCACUUAAUCAACCCCAAAUGACAUCAUAUGCCUUGUUGACGCUGCUUAACCAAAUCGAUUAGAUGCUCAUAACUCCAACCUUGACUCCUUGUAUGGUCAACCUCUUCAACAAUCUUUAGAAAAUCCCCCUUUCCAAAAGCAACAAGAACCAAAGGGUCAGUUUUUAACUCCACAACAUCCCCAAAAAAUCCCAUCUUUAUCCUAUAAUCCAACUCAUCAAACCCAAACCCAUGUGCAUCAUACAAAAUCCCACAAGUAACAAUGUCGGGUUUCACAUUUCGAGCUUCCAUUUCCAAGAUCACGCCUUUAAAGCGUCUAAAAUCUUUCAUUUUGGCAUACGCACAUAGUAUUGUGUUUGCGAUAGUCACACUCCAUUUAACUUUCCUGUAGUCCAUUUCACGCACGAUAGACUCCAUUCCCGUUCGGCUCAGAAGACAAGCAUGCGAAAGCAUUCUUAAACACCACAUGAUGUUCGUGUUGCCGGUUCUGGAAUAAAGUCUGAUACCCAUAUCGUCUAACUUAGAAAACAUGUAGUU